ensembl:misc_RNA Metazoa_SRP Metazoan signal recognition particle RNA
GCCAGGCAUGGUGGCACAUGCCUGUAGUCCCAGCUACUCGGGAGGCUGAGGCAGAAGAAUUGCUUGAACCCGGGAGGCAGAGGUUGCAGUGAGCCAAGAUUGUGCCACUGCACUCCAGCCUGGGUGACAAAGCAAGACUCUGUCUCAA